rnacentral:rRNA from 1 species
GAUGAACGCUGGCGGCGUGCUUAACACAUGCAAGUCGAACGGAAAGGCCGAAGCUUGCUUCGGUACUCGAGUGGCGAACGGGUGAGUAACACGUGGGUGAUCUGCCCUGUACUUCGGGAUAAGCUUGGGAAACUGGGUCUAAUACCGGAUAUGACGAUCUCUUGGAUGGGGUUGUGGAAAGCUUUUGCGGUAUGGGAUGAGCUCGCGGCCUAUCAGCUUGUUGGUGGGGUAAUGGCCUACCAAGGCGUCGACGGGUAGCCGGCCUGAGAGGGUGGACGGCCACAUUGGGACUGAGAUACGGCCCAGACUCCUACGGGAGGCAGCAGUGGGGAAUAUUGCACAAUGCGCGCAAGCCUGAUGCAGCGACGCCGCGUGGGGGAUGACGGCCUUCGGGUUGUAAACUCCUUUCGCAGUCGACGAAGCCUUUUGGUGACGGUAGGUUGAGAAGAAGCACCGGCUAACUACGUG